rnacentral:rRNA from 1 species
AUUGAACGCUGGCGGCAGGCUUAACACAUGCAAGUCGAGCGGAGAGAGGUAGCUUGCUACCGAUCUUAGCGGCGGACGGGUGAGUAAUGCUUAGGAAUCUGCCUAUUAGUGGGGGACAACAUUUCGAAAGGAAUGCUAAUACCGCAUACGUCCUACGGGAGAAAGCAGGGGAUCUUCGGACCUUGCGCCAAUAGAUGAGCCUAAGUCGGAUUAGCUAGUUGGUGGGGUAAAGGCCUACCAAGGCGACGAUCUGUAGCGGGGCUGAGAGGAUGAUCCGCCACACUGGGACUGAGACACGGCCCAGACUCCUACGGGAGGCAGCAGUGGGGAAUAUUGGACAAUGGGCGCAAGCCUGAUCCAGCCAUGCCGCGUGUGUGAAGAAGGCCUUAUGGUUGUAAAGCACUUUAAGCGAGGAGGAGGCUACUUUAGAUAAUACCUAGAGAUAGUGGACGUUACUCGCAGAACAAGCACCGGCUAACUCUGUGCCAGCAGCCGCCGUAACAC